UCGCUUCAGAUCUGCAGCCUGAUUUCAUUAGACUCGCUGGCUUGUUUCUUCCAGCCCCUGUGAGUGUCCACGGCAGGAGAAACAUCGCUGACACUGGCAUUUUAAAGCCGUGAGGUCCAUACACUUAAGGUUGCAAGGCCAGUGCGGGAAGGACAGGGGACACUGCUGCAGAGACGGAGAGGGGUAAAUUUAGAGAUGACGAGGAAGAGGGAAACGCUUAGGUUCCGUUACGAGGCGACUCUACUGGGUGUUACUUGUCAAGCGGCUGAAUCCACCCACACACCCCAACAGCGUAUGAAAGUUGUUCAGCCCGAAGGGAAAGAGACCCUCCACGGCUGUCAUUACUAAUCCAAGUUUAACUAAAUUUAACAGUUUCCAAGAGCACGUUUUGGCCAUUUCAAACAUGCAAGCACCCACCUGAGAAUUUGGGGCUGCAGCAGACAGCCCUGUCCGGUUUCUGUCACCUUCAUUCUGCCACAGCGGAGAGCUGCACCCCUGAGCUGACAACCCUGCAUUUACCAGUUCAUCUCCAAGGUCUUCCUUGAUGCUGCGGCAAAUGGUUUUUUUACAGUAGGCCCUGCCCACCAGGGAAAAUAAACCAGAACAAGGAGAACGAAAUUCCCUUCCCACGCACGAGUGAUAAUGAAAACAAACUAUCUACAAGGAAGCUCAGACAAGGAGUGUGCUACAGACCAGGCAUCAACUGAAAACAAAUUUCUUAUUCAGGAAAAUGAUGCUAGCGCCUCAAGUAUGCUCUUCUUCCAACCUGGGUGCCCAUCAAAGGACGAAUGGAUAAAGAAGAUGUGGUACUUAUACACAAUGGAAUACUACUCAGCCAUAAGGAACGAUGAAGUCCGGCCAUUUGUGACAACGUGGAUGGA